GGUGCUGAUGGGGAUGUAUCUGGAUCGCAUUUCGCCAUUGCAUUGUUCAACAAAUUACCCUGCGGCUAUUUAGAAUGUGAAUAGCGAUCUUCAGCGGCACCUCUCGCCCCCUAUGCAGGCAAAGCAAAGAAAGAAUGACAGAUCUCACAAGGAGGGUACCCCCCCUGACCGAGGACGUUUUCCUUGGUCUGGUUGAUGAGGUCCUUGAAGACCCGGUAGCCUGGGCAUUAGCCAGCCAAAGCCAGGACGUUCUGGAAAGGAUGUCCCUUACUGAGGACGCACAUCUUGCGGAGGAUGUGCGUGAAAAUCUCUGGCUGCUAUGAGAGAGGCUGACCGGGCAGAGGACUCAGCUGAUCGAGCCUCUACCGAAAGCCCCUUGCCAGAGAAAGAAGAGAGGAGGUCUCCUGUCCCUGGCUACGUCUCGUCCGUUGCCUCCCCGGAGGCACGCCCGGAGUGCCUGCCUUUGGGGGGGUUCUGUCAUGACCUGCUCGCCCGAUCCUCCUGUGUGCCACACCCCCCUCUUUACCUCGUGUUUAUUCUGGAUUGUGAUCACCUGUUACCUGUUAUUCUCGGCUUGUCCUGUGUAUUUAAGUGUGCGUCCGAGUUAGUUUCCCCAGAUCCGUCAUUAAUGUUUGUUUGUUGCUGCCCUGUGCUUCCCUGUUUUCCCCGGAAUAAAUC